rnacentral:rRNA from 1 species
UACGAAGGGGGCUAGCGUUGUUCGGAAUUACUGGGCGUAAAGCGCACGUAGGCGGACAUUUAAGUCAGGGGUGAAAUCCCGGGGCUCAACCCCGGAACUGCCUUUGAUACUGGGUGUCUGGAGUAUGGAAGAGGUGAGUGGAAUUCCGAGUGUAGAGGUGAAAUUCGUAGAUAUUCGGAGGAACACCAGUGGCGAAGGCGGCUCACUGGCCCGGUACUGACGCUGAGGUGCGGAAAGCGUGGGGGAGCAAACAGGGAU